rnacentral:rRNA from 1 species
GACGAACGCUGGCGGCGUGCUUAACACAUGCAAGUCGAACGGAAAGGCCCUGCUUUUGUGGGGUGCUCGAGUGGCGAACGGGUGAGUAACACGUGAGUAACCUGCCCUUGACUUUGGGAUAACUUCAGGAAACUGGGGCUAAUACCGGAUAGGAGCUCCUGCUGCAUGGUGGGGGUUGGAAAGUUUCGGCGGUUGGGGAUGGACUCGCGGCUUAUCAGCUUGUUGGUGGGGUAGUGGCUUACCAAGGCUUUGACGGGUAGCCGGCCUGAGAGGGUGACCGGCCACAUUGGGACGGAGAUACGGCCCAGACGCCUACGGGAGGCAGCAGUGGGGAAUAUUGCACAAUGGGCGGAAGCCGGAUGCAGCAACGCCGCGUGCGGGAUGACGGCCUUCGGGUUGUAAACCGCUUUCGCCUGUGACGAAGCGUGAGUGACGGUAAUGGGUAAAGAAGCACCGGCUAACUACGU